GAUGAACGCUGGCGGCGUGCUUAACACAUGCAAGUCGAACGGUGAAGGCGGAGCUUGCUCUGCUGGAUCAGUGGCGAACGGGUGAGUAACACGUGAGCAAUCUGCCCCUGACUCUGGGAUAAGCGCUGGAAACGGCGUCUAAUACUGGAUACGAGCUGCGAAGGCAUCUUCAGCAGCUGGAAAGAAUUUCGGUCAGGGAUGAGCUCGCGGCCUAUCAGCUUGUUGGUGAGGUAAUGGCUCACCAAGGCGUCGACGGGUAGCCGGCCUGAGAGGGUGACCGGCCACACUGGGACUGAGACACGGCCCAGACUCCUACGGGAGGCAGCAGUGGGAAAUAUUGCACAAUGGGCGAAAGCCUGAUGCGGCAACGCCGCGUGAGGGACAACGGCCUUCGGGUUGUAAACCUCUUUUAGAGGGGAAGAGGCGAAAGUGACGGUACCUGCAGAAAAAGCGCCGGCUAACUACGUG
rnacentral:rRNA from 1 species